AGCGAACGCUGGCGGCAGGCCUAACACAUGCAAGUCGAACGUAGCCUUCGGGCUUAGUGGCGGACGGGUGAGUAACACGUGGGAACGUACCUUUUGGUUCGGAACAACUCAGGGAAACUUGAGCUAAUACCGGAUGAGCCCUUAGGGGGAAAGAUUUAUCGCCGAAAGAGCGGCCCGCGUUAGAUUAGCUAGUUGGUGAGGUAAAGGCUCACCAAGGCUACGAUCUAUAGCUGGUCUGAGAGGAUGAUCAGCCACACUGGGACUGAGACACGGCCCAGACUCCUACGGGAGGCAGCAGUGGGGAAUCUUGCGCAAUGGGCGAAAGCCUGACGCAGCCAUGCCGCGUGAAUGAUGAAGGUCUUAGGAUUGUAAAAUUCUUUUACCAGGGACGAUAAUGACGGUACCUGGAGAAAAAGCCCCGGCUAACUUCGUGCCAGCAGCCGCUGUAACAC
rnacentral:rRNA from 1 species